rnacentral:rRNA from 1 species
CGGUCGAAUCACGCUGAAACACCGGUUCUCGUUCGAUCACCGAAGUUAAGCAUCGAAGAGCCAUGUCAGUACUUAGAUGGGGGACCGCUUGGGAACACCUGGUACUGUAAG